rnacentral:misc_RNA from 1 species
GCCAUAUUUUGAAAUUGGGGAUCGAAAGCAUCAAAGACCAUAUUACGAUAUGGAUUGUUAUCUCCCUGUCUAUGUUCAGCACUUGGAACUGUCAUUUCAAUAGUAAAUGUUGAAGAAAUUGAGAAUUCAUCAUGUGCAGUCCAUUCUAGAUAAUUUAGUCUAAACCCAAACCUCAUAAGAUGCAAUUUGACAUCAUCCACAAAUAACUACUUUCGAUUUAUGAACUUUGUACACGGACAUCUGAUUUUACUUCCAUCCAUAAAUUCCGGCUUACUACAAGCAAAUUUGAUAAAUGCUUCCAACCCAUGA